rnacentral:rRNA from 1 species
GAUGAACGCUAGCUACAGGCUUAACACAUGCAAGUCGAGGGGCAGCGGUAUCGAAAGCUUGCUUUCGGUAGCCGGCGACCGGCGCACGGGUGAGUAACGCGUAUCGAACCUGCCUCAUACUCGGGAAUAGCCUUGCGAAAGUAAGAUUAAUGCCCGGUGUUUUCAGAGUCCCGCAUGAGGCUUUGAACAAAGAUUUAUCGGUAUGAGAUGGCGAUGCGUCCCAUUAGCUUGUUGGCGGGGUAACGGCCCACCAAGGCAUCGAUGGGUAGGGGUUCUGAGAGGAAGGUCCCCCACAUUGGAACUGAGACACGGUCCAAACUCCUACGGGAGGCAGCAGUGAGGAAUAUUGGUCAAUGGGCGGAAGCCUGAACCAGCCAAGUAGCGUGCAGGAAGACGGCCCUCCGGGUUGUAAACUGCUUCUAGUUGGGAAUAAAACGGGGCUCGUGAGCCCCCUUGCAUGUACCAUCAGAAAAAGGACCGGCUAAGUCCGUG